AGAGUUUGAUCAUGGCUCAGAACGAACGCUGGCGGCAGGCUUAACACAUGCAAGUCGAACGCAUCCUUCGGGGUGAGUGGCAGACGGGUGAGUAACGCGUGGGAACGUGCCCUUCAGUUCGGAAUAACCCAGGGAAACUUGGGCUAAUACCGGAUACGUGCGAGAGCAGAAAGAUUUAUCGCUGAAGGAUCGGCCCCGCGUCUGGUUAGCUAGUUGGUGGGGUAAUGGCCCACCAAGGCGACGAUCAGUAGCUGGUCUGAGAGGAUGAUCAGCCACAUUGGGACUGAGACACGGCCCAAACUCCUACGGGAGGCAGCAGUGGGGAAUAUUGGACAAUGGGCGCAAGCCUGAUCCAGCCAUGCCGCGUGAGUGAUGAAGGCCUUAGGGUUGUAAAGCUCUUUCGUCCGGGACGAUAAUGACGGUACCGGAAGAAGAAGCCCCGGCUAACUUCGUGCCAGCAGCCGCGGUAAUACGAAGGGGGCUAGCGUUGUUCGGAAUCACUGGGCGUAAAGGGCGCGUAGGCGGCUUUGUAAGUCGGGGGUGAAAGCCUGUGGCUCAACCACAGAAUUGCCUUCGAUACUGCAUGGCUUGAGACCGGAAGAGGUAAGUGGAACUGCGAGUGUAGAGGUGAAAUUCGUAGAUAUUCGCAAGAACACCAGUGGCGAAGGCGGCUUACUGGUCCGGUUCUGACGCUGAGGCGCGAAAGCGUGGGGAGCAAACAGGAUUAGAUACCCUAGUAGUCC
rnacentral:rRNA from 1 species